GAUUUCAACUGAAAACGUUAUCAACAACAAAGUUAUGUAACUCAUCAGUAUCUAUAAAUUUUAUUUUGGUUAUUUCUUCAUCCGACAAAGUGAUAGUAACAUUAUUCACAAAAAUUACAUAUCUCUCUUAUAGUUUAUAAACUAUAUAAGAGAUAUGUACAUUUUGUGCACAAUGUUACAAAUCACUUUCUUGGAUGAAGAAAUGACCCAAAUAAAAGUUAUAGAUCUUGAUGAGUUAUACCACUUUGUUAUUGAUGACUUUUUUAGUUGAAAUC
rnacentral:pre_miRNA from 1 species